rnacentral:lncRNA from 1 species
ACAAUCUUCAUGACAAAAUUAAAAAAUGUGUCGCCUUAAAUAACUUUAUUGCCACAACAUUUUACAUGUCGUGAAAUCAAGAUUUUGUUGUAGUGUAUGUACUAUCACACCGGCUGGCAAUUGCUCGACUAUCAUAGUCUCUGGUGUAACUGUCGGGAGUAUUUCAUUCGAAUUCGAGGGCAAGGAGUUACUGCAAUCACUGGCUGUAAUUCCUUUCAGUUGCAUUGCAGUACAGGAAGUAUUUUCACCCUCACCAUUUUAAAACUCAAUUUCCCCAUCUCCUUUGAACCAAAUCGACUCUAAGACAACCACAUUUCUUUUCUCAUUCAUCAUAUAUUAUUUAUGGAUUUAUUCAAAGGGAAAAUCAACAUCAAAUUCAGACCAUAGCUCACAAAGAUAUGAUUUUUAUGAAAUUUCAAAUUUUUGCAUACCUUUGAACUUUCAAUUAAAAGUUGUGGAUUUGAUUGUUGAUGAGGAGAUUAGAUUAGGUAGUUGUUGGGUUUCGUUGGUAGAUUAUUAUGAUUUAUUUUUUAUUUUUUGGCUGGAAUUCAUUCACUCAAUGCGUUUUAUCCCCAGCAUUUUUUCCCGCUCAUAAGAUAUUCGAUAAAAUGCCUUAACGGUGAUAUUUGGACCCCAUUUUCAUACGACUCACAUAUCAUCCCCUACAUUAUAUCCACGAGCGUACACAUUUGCAUUAUAUUCACAACGUUAUGUUCACGCAAAGCAUGUAGUUUCUGUUCCCUAUUUUCAACUCCUAUUUCCAUCCACCUCAUUGCACUCAUUAUUGAUCCAUUUGAGGUGUCUUGUGCUCCAAUUGUGCAUCUUAUCAUAUCCUUUGUGUACCUAUAAUAUUCAUGAUUUUCAUCUAAAAUUGAAGGUUACGAUGACAUUCAAAUGCAAACACCAAAAGCAACGGAAAAUAUGAAUGGAAAAGCUCAACUUUUGCCUACACCGACACACCCCUAAGUGAGUCUUUGCGGAUCUCUUUUGUUAUUCUUAUUGAGAUAUGAUUUAUAAUUGCAUAUUUUGAUAUAUAGUUUAAGUAUGGGAGUGGUUGUAUCAAAAUAAUAUACAUAUAUGAUGAUCGAUAUUGUGAGAGAUUUGAUUGCCGUGUUUGGUUGCAUGUCACUACUUCCGUAUACGUAAAAGAUUCAAAAAUAAUUUAUUGCUUUAUGUGUUCUUGUGAGUUGGAUGGCUUUGCUGACUAAUAAUGAUAUU